rnacentral:rRNA from 1 species
CUACGGCUGCUGCAGUGGGGAAUAUUGGGCAAUGGGCGCAAACCUGACCCAGCAACGCCGCGUGAGGGAAGAAUGUCUUCGGAUUGUAAACCUCUGUCCUUAGGGACGAAAAAAAUGACGGUACCUAAGGAGGAAGCUCCGGCUAACUACGUGCCAGCAGCCGCGGUAAUACGUAGGGAGCAAGCGUUGUCCGGAAUUAUUGGGCGUAAAGGGUGCGUAGGCGGUAAUCCAAGUCAGAUGUGAAAGACCCGGGCUUAACUCGGGAGGUGCAUUUGAAACUGGGUUACUUGAGUACAGGAGAGGUAAGUGGAAUUCCUAGUGUAGCGGUGAAAUGCGUAGAUAUUAGGAGGAACACCAGUGGCGAAGGCGACUUACUGGACUGUCACUGACGCUGAGGCACGAAAGCGUGGGGAGCAAACAGGAUUAGAUACCCCCGUAGUC